UAUCCAAACCCCAACAUGCCAAAUGCUAACUAUCCAAACCCCAACAUGCCAAAUGCUAACUAUCCAAACCCCAACAUGCCAAAUGCUAACUAUCCAAACCCCAACAUGCCAAAUGCUAACUAUCCAAACCCCAACAUGCCAAAUGCUAACUAUCCAAACCCCAACAUGCCAAAUGCUAACUAUCCAAACCCCAACAUGCCAAAUGCUAACUAUCCAAAUGCCAACAUGCCAAAUGCUAACUAUCCAAAUGCCAACAUGCCAAUGUAUAAUUUGUCUUUACACAAUACUCAACUACAUGCGGUGCCACACAUAAUGCCCCCUGCUCAGCAAAAUAUGAACGCCUUUUCGAAUAACUGGAAAAAUAUUAUAAACCCUAUCAAAGCUUGUAAGAUAAAACAAAUGUUUGAUGAUAGAGAGUUUUUAGCUACUCAUGCUAUGGGAUUAAAUUUAGAUUUUAAUAAUAGAUAUAUGAUUUUAGAUGAAGAAACUGAUCUUUUAAAUUUUACGGCUAUUGAAAAAUCUGAGUUCUGUUCAAGAAAUUGUUUAUCAAAAAAAUGUAACCCAAUCACAUUUAAACUAGUUAGUCCUGGAAGACCAUUAACGAAACCUGACGUUCUUGUUGAAAAAGAUUGUACAUGUACAAUGCUUUGUUUAGAUAGACCAACCAUAAAAUUAUACGAUGUGGUGAAUAAUAAUGAAAAAAAAUUAAUUGGAACAAUAAAAAACCCAUUUAGUUGUUGCUUUUAUAAUUUUAAAUUAUUAGAUUCAUCUAAUAAAAAAGUUAUAUAUAUGAAUGAAUCAUGUUGUCAAUUGAGUAUUCUAUUUCCAUGUCCUUUUGGUCCUUGUAAAACCAGUAAUUUCUUUUUAUAUGAUGCAAAAACUAAUUAUGAAGUUGCACAUAUACAAAAAAAAGUACCAUUUAUAAGAAUGAUAAAAGAAGACAUCGACAAUUACAAUCUUCAGUUCGAAAAAGUAGUAAACCCCGAAUGGAAAAUGAUGCUUUUGGCAUUAGUGUUAUAUUUAGAUUAUAUGUAUUAUGAUAUGCACUAAUUAGAACUAGUUAGUAUAUACAAAUAGAAACAUGACAGGUAAAUAUCACAGGCAAAACGUGAAGAAUAAAUAAAUGAACAUUUUAGGAAUACA
rnacentral:lncRNA from 1 species